ensembl:lncRNA
AUUUCAUUUUGAAAGUGUGAAGUGAAACUGAAUUCGUUAUGUUUGCUCAGAGUGCUGGUCAAAAGGUUCCACAGCAAAAACCCAUAAAGGGGAACCCGGAGGUGCAGGCAUCUACUUAUUGCGCCGUAUGGAUGCAUUUUGAUAAUAACCACACGAGGGCAGAAAAGAACAGACAUCUGCGGACAGCCAGACGGCAGCCUGAUUUAAGAGAAGCGUCAAGUUCUGAUAUUUUUUACAUCUCCCAGAGAAGCUUAGAUGCAGUUCCUGUGCCCACGCGUUCCUACUCGAGACACCAAGAAACCACCGAACUCCUGAGUCCUUUUGGUCCCUGAACUUCAUCCUCAAGUUUUGUCCAGUGGAGUCAUCACACACAAAAGUGUCUGCCACUGGUCCCAGCUCAUGUGAACAAAAGCAGAGGAGAGUUCUGUCUCCCAGGAGACCGAGACCAACAUGGAGAGAGGCCACUCUUGCUAUCCAGAGGCAGAACUACCUGUCAGGAAAGCCCUCAGUCAGGCAUACAUAUGUGCAUUCUUCCCACAAACACACUGGCCCCCAUGUGUCCAUCACCACUCCCCAGCCCUACAGACACUGCUUGCUGCUCCCCGGGGGAGGAAGCAUCAUCACCCCAAGGAUGUCAGCGCACGGCAGAGGAGAAAAUCCUAGAGAGCAUCGUGUCAACAACAAAUCCCAACACAAGAAGCAGUUACGGUCUGUUAAUUCAGGAUUAAGCUUCAUGAAACAGAAAGGAAGGGAGGAGAUCAGUAGAUCUUUGUCCAGUUUUUUAUUACUGGAACGCAUUUAUUACCCUGUAAUAUAACUGCAUAUUAUGAGAGAUCCUGUUGCCACUAAAAUGAAAAGCCCUGUCAUUAAAAAGUCGGCCACUUUUAAUCUC